GCAUGGCCGUUCUUAGUUGGUGGAGUGAUUUGUCUGGUUGAUUCCGUUAACGAACGAGACCUCAGCCUGCUAAAUAGUUAUGCUAUUCUUGAAUAGCUUAGCUUCUUAGAGGGACUUUCCGGGUCUACUGGAAGGAAGUUUGAGGCAAUAACAGGUCUGUGAUGCCCUUAGAUGUUCUGGGCCGCACGCGCGCUACAAUGGCAAAGUCAGCGAGUCUCCUUUACCGAAAGGUAUAGGAAAUCUUUUCAGUCUUUGCCGUGAUGGGGCUAGACCCUUGUAAUUAUUGGUCUCCAACGAGGAAUUCCUAGUAAACGCAGGUCAUUAACCUGCAUUGAUUACGUCCCUGCCCUUUGUACACACC
rnacentral:rRNA from 1 species